rnacentral:misc_RNA from 1 species
GAUGAAGAACGUAGCGAAAUGCGAUAAGUAAUGUGAAUUGCAGAAUUCAGUGAAUCAUCGAGUCUUUGAACGCACAUUGCGCCCCCUGGUAUUCCGGGGGGCAUGCCUGUCCGAGCGUCAUUGCAGCCCUCAAGCACGGCUUGUGUGUUGGGCCCCCGCCCCCCGGCUUCGGGGGGCGGGCCCGAAAGGCAGCGGCGGCACCGCGUCCGGUCCUCGAGCGUAUGGGGCUUCGUCACCCGCUCUGUAGGCCCGGCCGGCGCCCGCCGGCGACCCCAAUCAAUCUUUCCAGGUUGACCUCGGAUCAGGUAGGGAUACCCGCUGAACUUAAGCAUAUCAAUAAGCGGAGGA